UACGUAGGGGGCAAGCGUUGUCCGGAAUCAUUGGGCGUAAAGAGCGUGUAGGCGGCCAGAUAAGUCCGCUGUGAAAUCUCGAGGCUCAACUUCGAGCUGUCGGUGGAAACUGUCUGGCUAGAGUCCGGAAGAGGAGAAUGGAAUUCCUGGUGUAGCGGUGAAAUGCGUAGAUAUCGAGAGGAACACCUGCGGCGAAGGCGGGUUGCUGGGCUGACACUGACGCUGAGGCGCGAAAGCUAGGGGAGCGAACGGG
rnacentral:rRNA from 1 species